UUGUAUCUGAUAAUGUAUUCAUAAGAUGCGGUAGACAUGAAUGACAGUAACAACAAACAACUGCGGAUGCUCAUUUAGAAAGAAAAUUUACAACCGAAGCUAGCACGCAUAGUUCCUGUGGCUUCUGCUCGGUUCAGCCAUUAAAAAAAGCAUCAAAAAUCCCCACCGAGCAGCUUCUAUGUGGACCUUAUCCACAUCGCCGUUCCUCUUUAGCAGUAAUGCUUCUCCUUCCUUCUCUAUCGAUCCAUCAACGGCUCUGCUCUCCUUCCCCUCUCUCUUCGUGCUGCAUCCACACACACACACACGGCGCUGCUUUCCCCCCUCUCUCUUCUUCCUCCACAAGGAACCAAGCAUCACUCUCUGCUUGACCGUGGCGCCAGAAUCGAGCACGGAUGCGCGCGGCUGUCUCGCCCGUGACCGGGGCUGCUUCGCGUUCGUCGGUAGGUUGCGGCACUGUUGCUGCCCGUAUGGGCUCCCAGUGGCCGGGCGUGCACGUGCCGGGGCUGGCUGGGCUCCCAGGAGCCGGGCUCCCCGCCUCCUCCAACAUCGGCUGGAGAGGAGCUCCUCUGUGCUUCCUAGCCGCCUCCUCCAGCAGGCCAGCCAGAGCAACCGCCCCUCUCUUUCAGAUUUUCUCUUUUCUUCUGUAAUCUGCCUUCUUCUUCUUCUUCUUCUUCUUCUUCUUCUUCUUCUUCUCUAAUCUCCCUUCUUCUCCUUCUUCUAUCUCUAAUCUCUGCUUUCUCCAGAGAAGGGAGUCGCCACAUGGAACACAACCAGAACGCCUCGCCUUGGAGCUCGCUGCCUCCGGCAACCUCUCUGUCGGCCUCGUGCUCCUCCACCUCGAGCGCCGCCUCCUACCCGUCAUCCAUCUCCUGGAGGUGCCUGUCAGGCAGGGGUUGAUGCUUAUCCUCGACUCUCUCUGUCAGCUCUCUCCUUCUCCAAGCCGAGGAGGAUGAAUGGGGAGGAUGAAUGGGGCUCUUGCAGGUCGGCCGCUAUGUCCGCGUUGACUGCGGGCGAGCGCGUGCGACCGACACACACGGCCCCGCCUCUGCUCCUCGUCCUUCUCUAGCCUGGGCAGCGUGCCGCCCGCCUGCUCCCGAUCAGAUGGGGAGCGCCGCCGCUCGAUCCCAAAAAGAAUCUCGAACCAUUUUUUCUAAACUUAUCGAGAAUGCGGGUUGAAUAGCGAAAAUAGAAGAGUCUUUUA